rnacentral:lncRNA from 1 species
CUAGAAAUGUUAAACACUUUUUCAUAUAUUUGUUUAUCAAUUGUAUUUCUUUUUCUGUGAAGUGUCUGUUCAGUUCCUUAGCCCAUUUAUUGAUUGGGUUAUUUGUUUUUUUUUUUUUUUUUGGUGUUAGGUUUUUUGAAUGAAUAAAGAAAAUGUGGGAUAUAUACUCAAUGGAAUAUUACUCAGCUAUAAAGAAGAGUAAAAUUAUGCAAUUUGCUAGUAAAUGGUUGGAGUUGGAGAAUAUCAUGCUAAGCGAAAUAAGCCAAUCCCACGAAACCAAAGGCUGAAUGUUUUCUCUAAUAUGUGGAUGCUAAUUCACAAUAAGGUGGGUGGGGGGCACUAGGGAAGAAUAGCAUUACCUUAGAUUAGGUAGAGGGAAGUGAUGGGAGGGGAGGGGAUGGGAUGUGGGGAUAGGAAAAACAGUAGAAUGAAAUAGACAUUAUUACUGUAUGUAUAUAUGUGACUGCAUGACCAAUAUAAUUGUGCAACGUGCACUCAGAAAAAUGAGAAGUUAUAUCCCAUCUAUAUAUGAUAUAUCAAAGUCCAUAAGUGCAUUCUACUGUCAUGUAUUACUAAUUAAAAAAAAAAAAAAAAAAAAACUAGAGCCAGUCACAGUGGUGCAUGCCCAUAAUCCCAGUUACUCUGGAGGCUGAGACAGGAGAAUUGCACAUUUGAGGCCAGCCUUGGUGAUUUAUAGACACCCUGUCUCAAAACAAAACAAAAAGGGCUGGAGUGCCACCUAGAGAUCCUUCAAAAAAAGGUUGACUAAAGGUAUAAGGCAGGAUAGACCUGUGCCAGAAAAUAAGGAAACACUAAAAAAAUAAAGGCAGUUAUUACAAGGACAGAGAAGUAAAUUUACUGAGGUGGAUUGCCCUAGUUGUUAGAUUCUGGAAAACUUGUAGCACUCCAAUGGUUCAUACUCAUGGAAUAACUUGGUUACAGGCAAAGGAGACAGAACAGCAACUGCAGGAGCAGGGUAUAAACUGAAAGGGAUCAGAUGUCAGGGUUUCUUUGUCUUUCCAUUAUUGGGGUUGCAGAAGAUGUACAAAUGGAGACAAAUCUUCAGUUUUGAAUCUGUUUGGCAUGCUUUAGAGCAUCUUGGCAGCAGAAAAGUCAAUUUCGUUUGUGAUGGGAUCCUUUCAAAUUAGGCAAGUCUCAUAGGCACAUUCUAAUUCCACAAUAUCUUAAUCAUCAAAUUUUCUAGGCUCCACCUUCAAUCAGGUACAAAAAAUAAAUACAAUUAUUAUUGCUAAACAAUUGCUGACAGAUGAAUAUGUCUUGACUCCAAACAAACCAAGUACCAUGAUUACAGGACAUCAUAUAUUUUAAUAUAUUUCUUAGAGUGGCCAAGGGGCCACCCUGUUCUCAGUUGCUCUUGACCUAAGUGUAAGGUUGAUCUAAAUCAGCUGAGGUCAAUGCUAUGCAAAAUAUUCCCACUGGGCCAAAUCAGGACAUUUCAUGCAUCAAAAGAGAGGGUGAUAUCAACUGCUAAUACACAAAAAAGCAGAAAAAAAAUCAUUACCCAUCUCUUGGAAUUAAAGUUUUGUUCACAAGUUAUUAUUUGCAGCUAUUUUAAAGUAGCUUAUGAUAACAUUUUAAAGCAUCUCAAGAGUAGUAGAAUGAAAUUCACACACCCAGUGUUGAACACUUUGCCACAUUUUUUUUAUCUACAUCUGCAUCUUAACUGAAACAUUUCAGAGUAAAUUGCAGACUUCAUGUUUAAUCUUUAAACUUGUGUCUUGACACUUUUGAAAUAAGGACUUUCUCUUUUAUAACUGUGUCAUUUUUCUCAUAUGAGAAAAUUUUAAUUCAUUGAGUUCACAGACGGUAUUAAACCUCUGCCCCUGAACAAAAAUGUAUUUUAUUAAUUUUUUUCUUGACCUAUAACCAUAUGAAAUAUUUGACUUCAAUUUUCAUCAUUUGGAACCGUUUUCACUUUUUUCAUGGCAGCUACUUUUUAAGAGAAGAACUCAAUUUUCUAGUAAUUAGUGAUUUGGGGAUUCAUGUAAUUGUUUGCACAUGUUUUUUAUGAUGGCUGCAAAUUGUAAGUUAGGUAUAAAUGCUUGAUUAGUUUUUUAUACAUUGUUGCAAGUAUAUCCCAUAGGAGGCACUGUGUUUUUCAUACUGUAUUUUAUAUAUAUAAAAUAUCCAGUGGCUUUAUUUUUAGUGUUAUUACAUUUGAUUGCUUGGUGCCAAUAUUUUGCAUUUAGAAAGUCCUGUGUAGGGUAAUAUUAUACACAGAUCUGCUUUCUGUUCACCUUUUUCAACUAAAAGUUUUAUACUAAUGAUCCUUAAAUGAAUCGAUUAUUUCUUUGGAGGCAAAAGAAUUGUGAUUUUUAAAAUUCUGUCAUUUUUUCUUCACCUUUUUUAGUGACUGUUAUUACCUAAUGGUAAGAGUUUUAUCAUCUUCCCUUGGGGUGAACUUUGUAUCUUUAAUU